UACAGAGACUGCAAGCGUUAUUCGGAUUCACUGGGCGUAAAGGGUGCGCAGGCGGCCAAGUGUGUUAGGCGUGAAAGCCCGGGGCUUAACCUCGGAAUUGCACCUAAAACUACUUGGCUAGAGCAUUGGAGAGGGUAGCGGAAUUCACGGUGUAGCAGUGAAAUGCGUAGAUAUCGUGAGGAACACCAGAGGCGAAGGCGGCUACCUGGACAAUUGCUGACGCUCAGGCACGAAAGCGUGGGGAGCAAAAGGG
rnacentral:rRNA from 2 species